UGGGGAAUAUUGGACAAUGGGGCAACCCUGAUCCAGCAACGCCGCGUGGGGGAUGAAGGUCCUAGGAUUGUAAACCCCUGUUGGGAGGGACGAAGGCUUGCGGGCGAACAGUCCGUACGCUUGACGGUACCUCCAGAAGAAGCCCCGGCUAACUACGUGCCAGCAGCCGCGGUAAUACGUAGGGGGCGAGCGUUGUCCGGAUUUACUGGGCGUAAAGAGCGUGUAGGCGGCCAGGCAGGUCCGUUGUGAAAACUGGAGGCUCAACCUUCAGACGUCGACGGAAACCGCUUGGCUAGAGUCCGGAAGAGGAGAGUGGAAUUCCUGGUGUAGCGGUGAAAUGCGCAGAUAUCAGGAAGAACACCAAUGGCGAAGGCAGCUCUCUGGGACGGUACUGACGCUGAGACGCGAAAGCGUGGGGAGCGAACAGGAUAGAUACCCUGGUAGUCCACGCCGUAAACGAUGGGUGCUAGGUGUGGGAGGUGUCGACUCCUCCCGUGCCGC
rnacentral:rRNA from 1 species